rfam:Streptomyces sp. MP131-18 scaf_01, whole genome shotgun sequence.
CUUCAACGAACCCAGCCACAGCGGCCGUUCGGGAUCACGGCCCUGACCAUAGGUGGCGAUGACCGCCUGCGCCUC